rnacentral:lncRNA from 1 species
GGAGACUGCGGCCCAAGUUAGGAUUAGGACAGCGGUUUUUCAGUCCGGAGAUUCCGGCCACAACUAUUUUUGUCUGUUUUUAUCGUAAGCCAGAGUCUUUGGGUGCAGCUCUGGGACACCUAAAGGGCCUGGAGAAAUUCAGGCGGGGCCAGUGCUGUGGGGGUAGAUGUUAGACGUGGAAGGGACCCUAGAGAGCCUUGACUGUGAGGACUGAGGGCCUCCUUUGUUGCCCAGGCCGGAGUGCAGUGGCUAUUCACAGGUCGAUAAUGCAAUCAUGGUGCACACUACAGCCUUGAACUUCUGGGCUCAUGUGAUCCUUCUGCCUCAGCCUCCCAGAAAUAAGAAGAAAAAAAAGGAUAUUACCAACAAUGGAAGAGGAAUGCAGAGUGGCAACAGCUCCAAGUGGACCUGGCAGACUAUGAACACUAGAAUCACCAAGGAAACAUGGAGCUAUGAAAUGGCAAAAGGCUGUGUGAAAACCCUGACGCUUUUUGGUUCAGCCUUUAAAAACCAAAUGAAAACUCAAGAGAUACAAGAAUGUGGUUAUUUUGAUGAACAACUCACAAACUAGUUGAAUUAAAAGAAACUGGUUCAAAUGAACACAAACCUA